UACGUAGGUGGCAAGCGUUGUCCGGAUUUACUGGGCGUAAAGAGCGCGCAGGCGGUCGUUCAAGUCGCGUGUGAAAGCCCCCGGCUCAACUGGGGAGGGUCACGCGAUACUGAUCGACUCGAAGGCAGGAGAGGGUAGUGGAAUUCCCGGUGUAGUGGUGAAAUGCGUAGAUAUCGGGAGGAACACCAGUGGCGAAGGCGGCAUCCUGGACCGGUAUUGGACGCUGAGGCGCGAAAGCCAGGGGAGCAACGGGA
rnacentral:rRNA from 1 species